rnacentral:misc_RNA from 1 species
CCGAGUUAUACAACUCCUCAACCCCUGUGAACAUACCUUAUACGUUGCCUCGGCGGAAUCAGCCGCGCCCCGUAAAACGGGACGGCCCCGCCAGCAGGAACCCCUAACUCUGUUUUAUAAGUGUACUUCUGAGUAUAAAAAGCAAAUAAAUCA